UACGAAGGGGGCUAGCGUUGUUCGGAAUUACUGGGCGUAAAGGGCGCGUAGGCGGCGUGUCAAGUCAGGCGUGAAAGCCCCGGGCUCAACCUGGGAAUGGCAGUGGAUACUGGCAAGCUAGAGUGCGGUAGAGGGUAGUGGAAUUCCCGGUGUAGCAGUGAAAUGCGUAGAGAUCGGGAGGAACACCAGUGGCGAAGGCGGCUACCUGGACCAGCACUGACACUGACGCUGAUGCGCGAAAGCCAGGGGAGCGAACGGG
rnacentral:rRNA from 1 species